UACGUAGGUGGCAAGCGUUGUCCGGAUUUAUUGGGCGUAAAGAGCGCGCAGGCGGUUUGUUUAGUCCGAGGUGAAAUCUCCCGGCUCAACUGGGAGGGGUCUUCGGAUACUGGCAGACUUGAGGAGAGCAGAGGUGAGUGGAAUUCUGGGUGUAGUGGUGAAAUGCGUAGAUAUCCAGAGGAACACCAGCGGCGAAGGCGGCUCACUGGGCUCCACCUGACGCUGAGGCGCGAAAGCGUGGGGAGCGAACCGG
rnacentral:rRNA from 1 species